UCGCUGAGGAAGAAACCCAAGUCCAUCGCUGUCGCGCCAUCGCUGAGGAAGAAAUCCAAUUCGUGUUCUGCUUUGCUGUGUUGCUGCUGUCCAGUUUCGUGUUCUGCUUUGCUGAGCUGCUGUCCAGUUGUGUUUGCUUACUGCUGUCCGGUUUUUAAAUUUUGUUGCUGUGCUGCUGUUUGUAUUGGUGUUGCUGUUUUUUAAUUUUCGCAGGUUGCAUUUUUACUUUCUAGUUCCUACUGCUGUCCGGUUUUUUAAUUUUGUUGCUGUGAUGCUGUUCGUAUUGGUGC